AGACCCGAAACCCGGUGAUCUAGCCAUGGGCAGGUUGAAGGUUGGGUAACACUAACUGGAGGACCGAACCGACUAAUGUUGAAAAAUUAGCGGAUGACCUGUGGCUGGGGGUGAAAGGCCAAUCAAACCGGGAGAUAGCUGGUUCUCCCCGAAAGCUAUUUAGGUAGCGCCUCGUGAAUUCAUCUCCGGGGGUAGAGCACUGUUUCGGCUAGGGGGCCAUCCCGGCUUACCAACCCGAUGCAAACUGCGAAUACCGGAGAAUGUUAUCACGGGAGACACACGGCGGGUGCUAACGUCCGUCGUGAAGAGGGAAACAACCCAGACCGCCAGCUAAGGUCCCAAAGUCAUGGUUAAGUGGGAAACGAUGUGGGAAGGCCCAGACAGCCAGGAUGUUGGCUUAGAAGCAGCCAUCAUUUAAAGAAAGCGUAAUAGCUCACUGGUCGAGUCGGCCUGCGCGGAAGAUGUAACGGGGCUAAACCAUGCACCGAAGCUG
rnacentral:rRNA from 9 species